GACGAACCGUGCGAACGUUGUUCGGAAUCACUGGGCUUAAAGGGCGCGUAGGCGGGUUCGAAAGUCUGUGGUGAAAGCCUCCAGCUUAACUGGAGAAGUGCCAUGGAUACUGCGAACCUGGAGGAGGGUAGGGGCAUCUGGAACGCUGGGUGGAGCGGUGAAAUGCGUUGAUAUCCAGCGGAACUCCGGUGGCGAAGGCGAGGUGCUGGACCCUAUCUGACGCUGAGGCGCGAAAGCCAGGGGAGCAAACGGG
rnacentral:rRNA from 1 species